CCCCAAAUGGUAGAGUUAGAAACUUACCAGGGGACUCCAAUUUAAUCCCAUCAAGGUGGCGUGUACCAAUGCCAUCUCACCAGUCCAAGUGAUCAAUUUCAGUUCACAAUUGAUCAUAAUGAAAGGACUAAGAGUCAAAGGGAGCACAUAAACAAGUCUAGUACCUGCUAAUACUAACUGAUACAAUAAAUAAAGGGGAGAGUGAUCCAACAUGGGAAGUGAGAUACUCAGCAGACUCAUAGAAUUGUGGAUGUCCUAAACAGCACUCUUGCCUGAGAAUCAGCCCUAAAGCAUUCGGAUCUGGGUGAAAAGCCCAUGAGAGUAUUUCAGGCAUGGAAAGCCAAGACACUCUGGCAAUAGAUCUCUGUGAGUGAGAUCCCAGUGGAAAGAACAGGUCAUCAAAGAAGGAGGUACCUUUUUCUGAAGGGAGGAGAGAACCUCCACUUUGACUAUGACCUUGUCUAAACAAGAUAAGAGUCGGUGAACUCAAAAGGCUUCCAUAGCCUUGGAAACUCAUGACUGGUGCAUAGGGAGAUUACUGAUGCCAUAAAUAGGAGUGUCAAUUUGUUAAGUCAACAACAGGAGUCACUGUGCACUUACUCCUCAUGUAGGAUCUCUGUCCUUAAUGUGCUGUACAUUGAGACUUAAUGCUAUAAUGGGUACUCAAACAGUAUAUUUCACUUUGUGUUUCUAUGGGGGUGCAAACUGUUGAAAUCUUUACUUAAUGUAUACUAAACUGAUCUUCUGUAAAAAAAAAAGAAGAAUUAUCAAUUCCCAACUUGACUCUCACUGGGAUUAAACAUGACAAUAGGUCUGAUCUGAUUUCAUCAUCAUUUAAAAAAUCAUCUAUUAUUUUUCACUUUAUGUUUUCAAGUUGGGAGUUGAUAAUUUCUUUUUUUUUUUUUUUUUUACAGAGGAUCAGUUUAGUAUGCAUUAAGUAAAGAUUUCAACAGUUUGCACCCCCAUAGAAACACAAAGUGAAAUAUAUUGUUUGAGUACUCGUUACAGCAUUAAAUUUCAAUGUACAGCACAUUAAGGACAGAGAUCCUACAUGAGGAGUAAGUGCACAGUGACUCCUGUUGUUGACUUUACCAAUUGACACUCCUGUCUAUGGCAUCAGU
rnacentral:lncRNA from 1 species